UGUUAAAAAUUUCAUACAUUUAUACCAUUAAAAACUUGUAUGGCUGACGAAAUAACCAGUGACACGUGAUGUGUCAUGCGUAUCUCAUACCAACAUAUAAAGAUCAGUUUUUAAUAGUAGAAAUUGUUAGAAUUUUUAACA
rfam:Gossypium hirsutum cultivar TM-1 chromosome 24, whole genome shotgun sequence